rnacentral:rRNA from 1 species
GUAGGUGGCAAGCGUUGUCCGGAAUUAUUGGGCGUAAAGCGCGCGCAGGCGGUUCUUUAAGUCUGAUGUGAAAGCCCACGGCUCAACCGUGGAGGGUCAUUGGAAACUGGAGAACUUGAGUACAGAAGAGGAAAGCGGAAUUCCACGUGUAGCGGUGAAAUGCGUAGAGAUGUGGAGGAACACCAGUGGCGAAGGCGGCUUUCUGGUCUGUAACUGACGCUGAGGCGCGAAAGCGUGGGGGAGCAAACAGGAUUAGAUACCCUGGUAGUCCACGCCGUAAACGACGAGUGCUAAGUGUUAGGGGGGUUUUCCGCCCCCCUUAGUGCUGCAGCUAACGCAUUAAGCACUCCGCCUGGGAGUACGACCGCAAGGUUG